AAAUAAUCUAGUAUUCACUGUAUUUCGGUCGGCAUAACUCUAAACUUAAUUUAUUUCAAUCAGUUACGGAUAUUGGUUCAUCUUGUAGACAGGAAGUGAUAUGUAUUCGUAAAGCCAACAGUAUCAAAGAUGUUCUCACCUGUCUGUGACAGUAUCUUGUAUGCUAACGUUAGCAACCCUAGUGAACAUUGGGCUUAGAUAGCUGUUUGCCGUUAAUUAUGUAAAAGGUUUUCAAUAAUACCAAAUCGUGGAAGCACAUGGAAAUACAUUUAUGUCAUGACUUAAAGGAGUCACCUGGACAAAAAAAGGUCUAAGGCCUCACACUUUAAACAAACAACUAAAUAGGCAUUGGACAAGGGCAAGGCUCGUGGUAAGAGCAGCUGACUGUCUCUUUACAGCUCACACUCUCAGUCACAGCGGAGGACAUGGACCUAACCAGAACAGGUGACCAUAUUGCAGCUAAUGGCAGGGUUCUGCCCUCUCUAUAGAUUAUGCUGAUGUCCCACCGUCAGAACCUGGAGCUCUUUACUGGUUCUGUGGGAGGUGACGUGGCCACAAAUCAGUGCCUGGGACACCUUCCAACGCUACCACUGAACAACAGCCAAAGGGUGGUCAAGACAUCUACUGCAACUUCAUCUUUAGUGUGUCAGCUCUGCUGCAGCUGGGAGAUAAAGAUGGCUCUGGUUUGCAGAUGACAUCUGAUCUGACUCCUUGCAAAUUGACUCCUGUAUUACUGACUAUAUUAAAUAAAACUUCCAAUGCCAAAUUGAAAUAUUUGUUUGAUUCUGUAAUUGAUAAUCAAUGGUACUUUCCAAUCAGACAAUUACAAAAAUAAAGAAAUAAUGAAUCUGUUUUCCUCA